rnacentral:rRNA from 1 species
AUGGCCCGGUGGUCGUCGUGCAUGGCGCUGCUCGUCCUCGCCGUCGCCGCGCAGCUCGGCGCGUCCGACCUGUCGCCGGGCUACUACGGCAGCAGCUGCCCCAGCCUGGAGAGCAUCGUGCGCGGCGUGGUGACGCAGAAGAUGGACGACACCAUCCGCACCAUCGGCUCCACCAUCCGCCUCUUCUUCCACGACUGCUUCGUCGAGGGCUGCGACGCGUCGGUGCUGAUCCGGUCGACGCCGGGGAACCCGACGGAGAUGGACGCCGACGACAACAAGUCGCUGGCGUUCGAGGGCUACGAGACGGUGAGGAUCGCCAAGGAGGCCGUGGAGGCCGCGUGCCCCGACCUCGUCUCCUGCGCCGACAUACUCACCAUCGCCACACGGGACGCCAUCGCCCUGAGCGGCGGGCCCUUCUACCCAGUGGAGCUGGGGAGGCUGGACGGCCUGAGCUCCACGGCCAGCAGCGUGGCCGGCAAGCUGCCGCAGCCCACCAGCACCCUCAACCAGAUGGUCGCCAUGUUCAGGGCGCACGGGCUCAACAUGUCCGACAUCGUCGCUCUCUCAGCGGCGCACACCGUGGGGCUCGCGCACUGCGGCAAGUUCAGGGACCGGGUGUACGGCAGCCCGGCGGACGCGACGCUGAACCCCAAGUACGCGGCGUUCCUGAGGACCAAGUGCCCCGCCGACGGGUCGUCGGACCCGAUGGUGCUCAUGGACCAGGCCACGCCGGCGCUCUUCGACAACCAGUACUACCGGAACCUGCAGGACGGCGGGGGGCUGCUCGCCUCCGACCAGCUCCUCUACAACGACAACCGCACGCGGCCCCUCGUCAACUCGUGGGCCAACAGCACGGCCGCCUUCAGCCGGGGCUUCGUGGACGCCAUCACCAAGCUCGGCCGCGUCGGGGUCAAGUCCGGCAGCGACGGCAACAUACGCAAGCUGUGCGACGUCUUCAACUGA